AGAAUCAGGCCUGCCCAGUGAAUAAAUUUUUAACGGCCGCGGUACCCUGACCGUGCAAAGGUAGCAUAAUCAUUUGCUUUAUAAUUGAAGGCUAGAAUGAAUGGUUUAACGAGAGCAAUACUGUCUCCUUUCUAAUUUCAAGAACUUAACCUUUAAGUGAAGAGGCUUAAAUUUAAUUGAAGGACAAAAAGACCCUGUCGAGCUUAAAAUACAUUAUAGAAGUUUAUAUAUAUAUAUUUAAAUAAAUUCACUAUUACGCUUUUUAGUUGGGGCGACUAAGGAACAUAAAAAGCUUCUUAAAUAAAAAAAACAAGCAAGUUUAGAUCCGGGAUAGCCGAUUUAAGGAAUUAGUUACCGCAGGGAUAACAGCAUAAUCUCUCUUGAGAGGCCUAAUCGAAAGAGGGGGUUGUGACCUCGAUGUUGGACUAGAAUAUCCUAAAGGUGCAGAAGCCUU
rnacentral:rRNA from 1 species